rnacentral:tRNA from 1 species
GCCGAAGUGGCGGAAUGGCAGACGCAGCGGAUUCAAAAUCCGCCGAGGCAGCCCCUCGUGAGGGUUCGAGUCCCUCCUUCGGCA